rnacentral:pre_miRNA from 1 species
AAGAGGGACUCCUGUCGCAGGAGAGAUGACGCCUUCUGCCAUAUAAGAGGCAUGCAUCCCUUUUCAAUUUGAGCAGUAAGCUUCAUCUCUCCUCGACUGAAGCCCCUUUCAAU